rnacentral:rRNA from 1 species
AGGUAACCUACCCUCAGGACUGAGAUAACCCCGGGAAACUGGGGCUAAUAUUAGAUAGAUAAAAGAUACUGGAAUGUUCUUUUAUCCAAAGCUUUUGCGCCUGAGGAUGGGUCUGCGUCCGAUUAGGUUGUUGGUGGGGUAAUGGCCCACCAAGCCUACGAUCGGUACGGGCCAGUGGGAGCUGAAGCCCGGAGUUGGGGACUGAGACAAGGCCCCAGGCCCUACGGGGCGCAGCAGGCGCGAAACCUCUGCAAUGCGGGAAACCGUGACAGGGGGAUCCCAAGUGCUCAUGCAUUGCAUGGGCUGUUCUUUGGUCUAAGUAACCAGAGGAGUAAGGGCUGGGCAAGACCGGUGCCAGCCGCCGCGGUAAUACCGGCAGCUCAAGUGGUAGCCGCGAUUAUUGGGCCUAAAACGUUCGUAGCCGGAUAAGUAAGUCUUUGGUUAAAUCCUGCGACUUAACCGUGGGAAAUCUAGAGAUACUGCUUGUCUUGAGACCGGGAGAGGUUGGAGGUACUCCUAGGGUAGGAGUGAAAUCCUGUAAUCCUAGGGGGACCACCUGUGGCGAAGGCGUCCAACUGGAACGGGUCUGACGGUGAGGGACGAAACCUAGGGGAGCGAGCCCGGAUUAGAUACCCGGGUAGUCCUAGGCGUAAAUGAUGCGAGUUAAGUGUGGGGGCAUCUACGAGAUGGCCCUGUGCUGUAGGGUAGCCGUUAAACUCGCUGCCUGGGGAGUACGGUCGCAAGGCUGAAACUUAA